UAUUAAAUAGAGUUUCUUAUGUGGAUGCAGAAAAUGAUCAUACUUAAGUUAGAAAUAAGGCUUAAUUCCACUUUGGGCCCCUGAUCUUUCAAAAAUGAGCGAUCGAGGCCCCCCGUGUUUAAACGUAGCGGUCAGGCACCCCAACGUUUCAAAAACGUGCGUUUCAAACCCUUCUGUUAAGUGUCGUUAGUUUGACUAACGGAACUAAUGACGUGGAUUUUCUUUUUCAUUUUAAUAUUUUUUUUUACCCAAAAAUCCCCCCCCCCCCCAAAUUCUCUCUCAAUCUCGACAUCUCUUCACUUUCUUCUUCAUUUUUCUCUGAAAACCCUAAAACCACACAACAUCAUCUUCUUCUUCAUGGUCGCCGCCGCCGCUCUUCGGCCAAGCCACCACCACCACGAGCUUCCUCACGCGAGCUCGCCGCUGGCCACACCACCAUCACUGCGCCUCCUUCUUCUUCUUCUUCUUCCUUGAGAGCCACCGCCGCUGGCCACACCACCAUCACUGCGCCUCCUCCUUCUUCUUCUUCCAUGAGAGCCACCGCCGGUCACACCAUCACCUCCUCAUCAUCCUCGCGCGAACCUAAAGGGCAGCCACCAUGGCCACCACGUGGAAGCCAUCACCACCAUGAAAACCUAGGAUCGCCGCCUUCAAAGUCCGAUCUACGGUGAACCGCUCACGAUCUCGACAAACCAACACCACCGCUGUGCUCAUCUCCUCGUCCGCAACAAAACCCACAAAGAAAUUUCCGAUUCCGACGACCUCCGCCGUGAACCGCCGUGCGCCGCCGCCGGAGGCGAUUUCCGGCGACUCGCCCUCUUCUCCUCUUCUCUUUCUCUUGCUAAAUUAGGGUGAAAUUAGGGUAAAACAUUGGAAACAAAUCCUAAUUGUGGUAAAGAUGCUGAUCAGUGUGAUGAUGAUAAGUGUAAGAGUGCAUUUGAAAGCAUUUCUGCUAUUUCUGCUCUUUAUAGUGAUGACAUUCCUGCAGAUAAGUUAACAAAUGAGAUGAAGAAAUUGAACAUGAACCAUUCUGAGGGUGUUGAUAUCACGAGAGAUUCAAUGAAUUCAUUUGUAAAUAGUAAAGCUAGUUUUGUGUUUGGAGGAAGUGACAAGGUUUUUGGCUGUGUUAAUGAUAGUUCGGGAGUUAAUCUUGAUGGUACUGAUGCUGAUUUUGAUAAUAUUGGAGGGAAACAUGUCAAAGCAUGCAGAGAAAAUGACGUUCAAAAUGAAAUUGGUUGCGGUUCUGCAGGAAUACCUUGCACUGAGCCAUCCACUAGUCAGGAAGGUGCCAGAGAUUUCCAGGGUGGGGGAAUUGGGUUUGUGAAUUGAGUGGGAAAAUCCUGGGUCAAAAAUUUAAUGUUAAACUAAAAAAAAAAUUCCACGUCAAUUAAUGAAAGGGCCUCCGUUUGGUCAACUAACGGAGCUUAACAGAAGGGGCUGGAUCGCACGUUUUUGAAACGUUGGGGUGUCCGACCGCUACGUUUAAACACGGGGGGCCCCGAUCGCUCAUUUCUGAUACAUCAGGGGCCCAAAGUGGAAUUAAGCCUAGAAAUAAAUAUAUUUUCGUGGAAUUAGUUUUUCCACAGCUGAAAAUUAUUCUCAUAUAAAAAAUUCGAAUCUCCAAUCUUUCUUGAUUCCAAAUGUUUCGCUCAAUUGCUUCUUUUGAAUUCUUUUGCUCAAUUGCUUCUGCUAGCUAGGGAUUUGGGAUAGCAAAAGUAGGGAUAAAGUGGAAAAGUGGAUAAAGUGGAAAAGUUUUCUUUCCAAGGACAUCUUGCUGAGAUUAAGCAUGGAAGUAUUGUCAUUGCAGCCAUUACAAGUUGAAUAAAUACUCUUAAAUAAGUUUUUGUCCCUAACCUUUACUAAAUGCUUGGUUUUCGUCCCUCGCCGGAGCAAAGGUGGGUUUUAGUCCCUAAACUUUGCCAAAAUGUUUGGUUAUCAUCCCUCCGGAGCUCUGGGUCAACGCCGGAGCUCCGGUGGCCCAUGUGGCAUUGCCACAUGAGAUUAAUGAACAUGAUGUGGAAUUUUUUUUUUAAGUUAAAAAAACUUAUUAAUUUAAAAUAAAAAAGAAAUCUAAUUUAAUUCCUAAUCCCCUUUGACUACCUGAGCCCUAAACCUAAUUUCUCAUUCCCCAACCCUUGUUCUACCAAAGCCACCACCACCACACCGCCGUUACCUCCAAACAGUGCAGCCAUCGACCAUCACCGCUCCUCGCCAUCAUUGCACCCGUCAUCGAGUCAUCAUCGAACCACCAUCAUCUUCACGUUGUAGAUCUGGUUGGGUUGCAACUCCACAGUCUAAAUCCCCAAAUCAGGAUCACCUCCGUCGCGCUCGGAGGCAUGUCUGGAAGCCUUUCUGGCCACCACUUGCACCGCUGCACUCGCCUCCUUCUCAGGUUUCCAAAUCUGGCCUUAUUUUGUCUUUAUCAGAUCUGUGGUGUUCCAGAUCUGUGGCAGAGUGGCUUGGAAACCCAAUUCUUUGUCUGCAGUGUCUAUAAUUCUGGAUUAUUGCUUUGCAAAUUUUCGAUUCUCUGUUGGGAGUAGUGCUUUUGGAGGGUCUCGAAUGAUUUCUGAUUGUGUGAUGGGAAUACUUCAUGUGCCUUUUGAUGUGGUAGAGUGCUCCUUUUUUGGAUGCUCUUGUCGAGUUUGGUACAUCUUGAAUCUGGUUUAUGAAUUUCUCCCUCUGGUUGUUGUUUCGUGAGGUCAGAUUUUGGCAGGUUUAAUAGGAUGUGGUCAUGUUUAUUUAAUAGGAUGUGGUCAUGUUAAUAUCAUCUGGAACGAGGAAAUUAAAAUGUUGAAUGGAAUUUUUUUUUGUUGAAGGUGGUGAUGAAAAUGUUAAGAUGGUGAGGAAUAUGUUGAAGAUGGUUCUGGGUUGGGGUUUUUUUUUUGUUGAAGAUGAUGAUGGAAAUGUUGAAGAUGGUGAUGAAGAAGGGUUUAUAAAAAAUUUGUUAAAUUAAUUUUUUUCGUUGGAAAUAAAAAAAUUUCCACAUCAUGUUCAUUAAUCUGAUGUGGCAAUGCCACAUGGGCUACCGGAGCUCCGGCGUUGACCCAGAGCUCCGGAGGGAUGAUAACCAAACAUUUUGACAAAGGUUAGGGACUAAAACCCACAUUUACUCCGGCGAGGGACGAAAACCAAGCAUUUGGUAAAGGUUAGGGACCAAAAACUUAUUUAAGCCUACAUUAAACCCAAGUGUAAUGCUUGGGCCUGGUCUUGUUGCAAAGAAAGCUUGUGAAUUAGAUUUGGAUGUUAGUCUCAAAUAUCAGUACCUCUAUUGCCUGGAA